CAGAAUUUCACCACGUUGGCCAAGAUGGUCUCGAUCUCCUGAUCUCGUGAUCCGCCCACCUUGGCCUCCCAAAGUGCUAGGAUUACAGGCAUGAGCCACCACGCCCGGCCUCUAUUUCUUUUCUUAAUGGACUAUCUAGGACCUCCAGUAACAUAUAAAGCUGUAAUAGUGUUAACCAUCUUUGUCCUGUUCCUGAUCUUAGACAGAAUGCAGCUAAAGCAAUAACACAGAACCCUGCCCCUACAGCCCUACCCGAUCACAACCCCCACCUUUCCAAUGGAGUUAACCAUGAUCCCGACUUUUGUGACAGAGGCAUAUCAUAUAAGGCCGGGCACAGUGGCUCAUGCCUGUAAUCCCAGCACUUUGGGAGACUGAGGUGUGAGACCAGCCUAGGCAACAUGGCAAAACUCCACCUCUACAAAAAAUACAAAAGUUAGUCAGUUGUGGUGACACACGCCUGUGGUACCAGCUACUCAGGAAGCU
rnacentral:lncRNA from 1 species